CCCGGAGCUCCUGACUGCAGUCUGCUCAGCUACAGCAAAACCUGCCCCAGAAAUCACAUGGAAGCCUGAGGGCUUCCUGAUUGGCCAGCCUGAGAUACAUGGAGUUAAGCAUGCAAAUGGCACAGUAACUGUGACAAGCAAGUGUAACAUCUCUGUGAGGCUCCUGCGACUGAAGAACCUCCAGGCUUUGACAUGUGUAAUAAACCACCCUAUGGGAAGGAAAGAGAAGAUAAUUGGCCCACUAGAAGAAUAUGAAGCAUCUGAUGAGGAGAGCAAAAUAUAUAUUUGGCAAGUGCUUGGCAUAAUUUCUAUUAUUCUGAAUGCCAUAGGAGUCACCAUCCUCAUCUUGACAUACAAGAAAAGCAAAGGGAAUAACGGCGAACCCCAGGAAGUUCUCAGCGCAAGAGAAACCCAUUUUCAAAAUCAAAGGACAGUCAAAGAGAGACACUGGUACCCAGAGCAAUGUUUCAAGAAGAAAAUGAAGAGAAUGAGGAAGGCAAUCUGAAUCAUUCAUUUGUGGAAGGGGUUGAAGAGAUUGAAAACUCGGUUUUUAAAAAUUAGAGAGAAGGUAAACUUUCACUACUGCAAAUGAAAAAAGCAGAGAAACCAACGUCACUAACUCAGCAUUCAAACAAGCCCCAAAGAAGAUUUUUUUCAAAGCAUUGUGCAGUAGCUUGGAGAAAGGAGCUAUUUAUAACAUGACUUUGACACAAAAUAAGCUAAAAAGGGUGGAAAGUUUUUUCAAUUGGAGACCUCAGAAUGUUUCAGUUUUCAGAAACCAUUUUUUUACUUUUUUUCCCAAUGAAAACAAUUCAGCAAAAUUGACGCAAAUUCACCAAAAGUUUUGGUGCCACUGAAUAUUCAUUUUUUUUGCCAAAGAUAAAGUUUCAGUUGAAAAGUUUCACCCAUCUCUAGCUGUGACACCCAUUUUAUGGAAAUUUACAUUUAAAAGUAAUUAUUUCCCCUUUUACACUCUUUUUAAUCUUCAGCUUACUUGGUUCCUGUUACGCCAGGCAGACGCAAAAAUUUAAUGGGGUUUCAUUGUUGCUAUAUUGAUCUCAGUUUAAAAAAAAAAUCCUGUCUCUUAAAGAGUUCAUUCACAACUAGAACACCUCUCCAAGGCUGUCCUCUCUCUUUUCCAAGGUAGAGGAGCUGUGGCCAGAUUAAGAGAAAAGAAAAAGAGAUAGCCUUUGUUAGAUGAAUGGAGAGGAAUGCAGAGAAGAGUUUAUUUGGGGCAAAUAGCGGGAGUUCUAGGUAGAUUAGACUAACAUUGGAUAGAAAAGCAGAGAUACCAUUUUAGUACUUAUUAUGUCAGAUGAAUACAAUGUAGAGAAAUUGUAAAAUGCAGUGUUUAAUUCCCCCUAAAUCCUUGUAAACUUUGUCCUCUGCUUUAAUUUCAGUGAUUUUUCUUUUUACAUGUGUACAGGGCUACUUAGCCAACAGCAUCCAUUUUACUGCCAGAGAAUAAAAACUUUGCUCUUACAGA